rnacentral:rRNA from 1 species
UACGUAUGGGGCAAUCGUUGUUCGGAUUUAUUGGGCGUAAAGGGCGUCUAGGCGGGGAAUUAAGUUAGGUGUGAAACCCACGGGCUCAACUCGUGAACUGCAUCUAAAACUGGUUCUCUGGAGUUCGGGAUAGGAGAGCGGAAUUCCAGGUGUAGCGGUGAAAUGCGUAGAUAUCUGGAAGAACACCAGUGGCGAAGGCGGCUCUCUGGCCUAGAACUGACGCUGAAGCGCGAAAGCGUGGGGAGCGAACGGG